rnacentral:lncRNA from 1 species
AGUGCUGUGCCUCCCACUACCCCUCUUUCGUUCGUUCCUUUGUUCUUCACUAAUCAAGUAAUCGGAAAGCUCAACUCAAAGAAAGAAAAAGUGAAAACCCUAGGUAGCCUCCACUGCCGCCGAACGGAGUGAGCCACUGCCGUCGUCCGUCGUUGUCCGAGGUUUCUCUCUUCGUCCUUCGGCGUUCUCCAAGUCUCCAACCGCUGUCCGGUCUCAGAUUCACCAAUCGCAAGGAGCAGCCGUGUUUGCCACCGUCCGCCGCAGUCAGGGCUUGUCUCUUUGAGUCUUCGUCGGCCGCACAGUGCUCACUUGUUCAUGUUUCUUUUUUAUGCUCUUUUCAGAUAUCAUUGAAAGAUUAUUGAAUGUUUAUGUUUUUAAUGAAUGAUUAUCUGAUUAAUGAUUAUUGAUUAGCUCUGGCUGCUCUGUUCUGCUGUUGUUUUGUGUUUUGUGAUCUUUUUGGGUAGUGAUGUGCUGCUGCUGAUGUGCUGGUUUGUGUUUUACUGUUUUGUGAUUUAAUUAUGCAUAAAUUGUGACUGUCUUAAUAAUUAAUUCAACUCCAAUAUUUUGUUCAAAACAUUCCCAACCUUGCUGUCCUUGAAUGCUGGAAAUAGAC